GAUGAACGCUGGCGGCGUGCCUAAUACAUGCAAGUCGAGCGAACAGACGAGGAGCUUGCUCCUCUGACGUUAGCGGCGGACGGGUGAGUAACACGUGGAUAACCUACCUAUAAGACUGGGAUAACUUCGGGAAACCGGAGCUAAUACCGGAUAAUAUAUUGAACCGCAUGGUUCAAUAGUGAAAGACGGUUUUGCUGUCACUUAUGGAUGGAUCCGCGCCGCAUUAGCUAGUUGGUAAGGUAACGGCUUACCAAGGCGACGAUGCGUAGCCGACCUGAGAGGGUGAUCGGCCACACUGGAACUGAGACACGGUCCAGACUCCUACGGGAGGCAGCAGUAGGGAAUCUUCCGCAAUGGGCGAAAGCCUGACGGAGCAACGCCGCGUGAGUGAUGAAGGUCUUCGGAUCGUAAAACUCUGCUAUUAGGGAAGAACAAAUGUGUAAGUAACUAUGCACGUCUUGACGGUACCUAAUCAGAAAGCCACGGCUAACUACGUG
rnacentral:rRNA from 1 species